ACCAUGAAGUUAAUUAACCAUCACCUUACAUAUUUACCUUUUUUUUUUUUUGGUGAGAACAUUUAAGUUCUACUUCUUAGCACAUUUCAAUUUUAUAAUAUCAUGUUGUCAACCAUAGUUACCAUGUUAUACAUUAGAUCCUCAGAACUUAUUCAUCCUAUAACUGAAAGUUAUACCCUCUCCCCAACCUCUCCCUGCUUCCCCCACACCCAGCCCCUGGAAGCCACUUUUCUACUCUCUGUUUCUAUGAGUUUGACCUUUUUUUUUUUUUUAAGAUUCCUCAUAUAAGCUAUAAGUGUGUAGGUGGACAUGCAGUAUUUAUCUGGCUUAUUUCAGGCAAACAAUUAUAUUGAAAUACAGUUAACAAACUAUUACAAAGCCAAACUGUGCUUCUUUAACACACCACAUAAGAUCUGGUGGUGGGUCGGCUGCAUUAUUAUGAUUGUAAUUUUAAGCAGGUAAUGAGUGUAAAUGAUGUUCUAAGAUAUCUGCAACAAACUUAAUGAGACAUGAAAAUAUCUUUGAUUCCAAUUGGUGACAAAGUCAUGGGGGCUGCAGACACUACUGCAGUUUUGUUGCCGACAUUCAUAAUGGAAGGAGAUGUAACAUUUCAGUUAGAUGUACAGAAAAUUAAUAAGAGGUAAUGUCUUUUUCCCAUCCAAGUUCACUGACUCCAGGUUACAUGCUUAUGGACCCCAGGUUAAGAGCCCUUGCUGGAGUUAGAUAGACUCGGGUUUCAACCCCUGCUCUAUACCUUCCUGUGCAGGACAUUUGUGUGAAUUGCUUUUCCUACCUGCAUCUCGGUUUCCUCACCUGUAAAAUGGGUAUAAGACUAGUGAGCUCAUAGGGCUGCCAGGAGGAAUAAACAUGAUAAACCAAAUUCAACACACAUUUAUUUAUUUAAAAUUUUACUUUAUUGUGGUAAGAACAUUUAACAGGAGAUCUGCCCUCUUGACAAGAAGAUAAGAAAUCUUGAAAAGGACGUGCAGAAAUUGGAACCUUGCACAUUAUUGGUAAGAAUGCAAAACAGUACAGCUGAUGUGGAAAACAGCAGUGUGGAGUUUCUUCACAAAAUUAAAAAUAGAACCACUAUAUGAUCCAGCAGUCCUACCUUUGGGUAUCUAUCCAAAAGAAUCAAAAAUCAAGAUUUUGAAGAGAGAUUUGUACUCUCAUGAUCAUUGUAGCAUUAUCCUCAAUAGCCAAGAUAAACAACCUAAGUGUCCAUCAACAUGGGUGGAUAAAGAAAAUGUAUACAGUACAUACAGUACAUACAGUGGGGCUACUAUUCAGCCUUAUAAAAAAGGAAAAUUUGCAAUAUGUGACAACAUGGAUGAACCUUCUCAACAUUUAUUGAGAACUUUUAUGUGCUCAGGAACUGUUUUAGGUGCCGGGGACUCUAUACUGAACGAGAGAGGCAAAAUCCCUGCCCUUACGGAAUUUACCAUCGGGGCAGGGACAAUGAUCAGGAGAUGGUGUGUUAACAUCUAUGUCAUGAAGCUACAAAGGCACUGAACAUCUUCUUGGAGGAAGAGGAAUCUUGGUUCUAGUUAAUGAGAGAAGCAGCAUAGCCCAGUGGUUAAGUGUGCAAGCUCGGAAGUGACGCAGCUGGGUUCCAAUCCUAAAUUCUGCCUCUUGCCAGCUCUGCAUAAACUGGUGGCAAACUACUUCACUUCUGCAAGCCUCCUGCGCCAUGCCUACAGAUACAGGACUGGAACUGAGACAUCAGCUCUUCUGGGGUCUCGAGUCACCAGCCUUUGGGCCUGCAGCUACACCAUUGACUUUCCUGCUUCUCAGGCCUUUGGAAUUGUACUGCAAUUUACAUCAUCAGUUCUCCUGGGUCUUCAGCUGCUGACAGCAGAUCUGGGGACUUAGCUUCCGUAAUCAGCCAAAUGUAACAUCGUCAAAGUGAUUCUCUGGUUCAAAAACGGAGGAUGUUGAGGAACAUCCCAUGAGGCCCCUGAGCGUCCCAGUCUCCUGGCG